AGACCGGUCAGUUAGUGGUCAAUAAUCGCUACGACAAAGUACGCUACAACGCUACAAACGCGGAAAUUACAAAGUGGCCGAAGUGGAAUACGGUGUUAGUGAUCAGUGACAAGAAGAAAUCAUCCAUCUUUACCCAAGGAGUCGGUGCAAGAGUGCACAAGUGGGAUUCGAUAUAUCCUGACUCUCCCUUUGUCGCUGCACCCAGGAUGGGCGCGCCCCAGCACUAAGAGGGUGGUAGAAUGAGGAUCGGCCUAUUUAUUCCGCCAACACAGAAUGGCGUAAUGGUGGUAGUGAUCACAGUGUUGCAGUAAUCCCACCAGCAGUUAAUUCGGCGUCAGUGGAAUGGACUCCGAUCGGCAUAGUCGGAGCUAUCAGCAUGAUGGAUCGCUGUCCGGACAGUACGAAGCAUGUUUCAACCGCCGUGGGAUAGACAUCGACACUCUGACACACUUCCACACUAGUGUUAAGACAACGUAGGUUAGGGAUGCACAGACAUAGGAGUAAGUAAUAAAACCUUUUUUUUAGUUUUUUAUCCAAAUUUUAAU